GGGGGGGGUCUUGGACAUAGUGUGGUUUUUUUCUCUCGAGAUCAUUAAAGAAAAGAUAAAAAGAAAAAAGACAUCUUAAAAGGCUAGAUAAUGUUCAGGGGGUGCAGGUUGGUCUAACUGAAGCAUUUACAGUGCGAGUACGUAGAUGACGUGGUUUGAUAUUGCAAUAAUAAAGUAAUAAUAAUUAGACGGAGCGCCUCCAUCUGUUUCCGUACAGUCAUUAUUUUAUGAGCGUUUUUGAAUUGAUUUAUAAAAUGGCUUGUUCUAGAAAUUCUCAAAAUGACAGAUGGCCCGACUGUGUGUGCAGCCUAUGUUCAAUAAAUAUGGCAUACUGCCCAUGAGAUGAGGACACAUCAGGCAUUUCAAUAUCAAAUAAUGUUGGGAGGAAAGAUUGAACAAAACAUUGCAACAAAAAUAAUCUGUCUUUAAUUUUUAAAAUGCUAAGUACAGGUACCUAGGCUUUUAGUAGGUGAAAGAGGCAAUUUAUAUCAUAAUUAAAUUGAGAAAAAAAUAUGCAUAAUGUUGAGUAUUUGGUGAGGUAUUCUUAGUCUUUGACACUUAUAGGAUUAUACUCAGCAAAGCGUAUUUCAUGGCACUGCUGUUUGAUGUAAACUCAUCAUAAUGUAUGAGGAGGAACUACAGGAAAAUCACUAUAGAGUAAGAUUGACUGCCACUAGGUGUUUGGACUGCGAUUGGUUAAAAUGUACACGCCGCAUAAAACUGAACACUGAACUAUUGUUAAACUAAAUCUUAAAACAUUUAAAAGGAUUGAUAGACAAAUACUAUGAAUUUUCCUCAGAUAGCAGUGUCAUGUUUCUUUUUCAUAAAGAAUUAUUUAAUCAACCGCAACUUCUGUCAGUAUUUUUAAGUCCUACGUUUUGGUUUUUGCUGAUUUCCUUUCCCUCAGUGGUCAAUUGAGCAUAAUGGGUAUGCAUACUAUUCAGGUGUAGUUCACUAUAGCAUUGGAUCUCUUAAGGAAAAAAAAAUGCAGUAUAUUUAUACAGCGAGUGGUACAGUAAUGUGUUUCUAGCUAAGCAUGGUUGCGUCACUGUGGCAGCUACUGUAACUGCUUAUUUUAUUUUUCUAUUUUGGUUUUAUUUACCUCUGUCACUGGCCGCUCCACACCUGUUGUGGAGGAGGGGGUUGAAGCUAGGUCUCUACAUUUCAAGGGUGUCACUUACAGAAGUAAAUCACUUCAUGUGCUGGCAUGGGUCUGCGUUUUUUUAAAGAAGGAGCAGCGUAUCUGCUUGGGCCAACAGCCCAAAGUGGGCUUCUCUGGUCGUCCAUGUCGUCGAGUCCCCGGGACUAUUCUUUAAUUACUUCAGCCUGACUACGCUGAGCCUGAAGCGGCGGAGGAGGCAGAGCGUGAAUCACAGAUGAUAAAAUGGAUAGAACCGGCCUUACUUCUUACUUUAACACACGUGCGGCCAAUCUGACGGUUUCACCAAGAAUAGGAACAAGUGGCGUCUAUCCAUUUUUGAUUUUAUUCUGUCUUUAAGCAAAUUAAACCUCAAACUUCUGCCCCCUUCCCUGUGCGUCCUUCACUCUGUGCCAUACUUCAACCAAAAUGUUGAAUAGCAAUCGAUAUUCCUCGUUCCGUCUGUCUUUCUGUGAUGUGAUGACUUGUCGCUGUCCUGGCUCCUUCUGUGUUUUUACUGGAUUUGACCUUCUCGCCUUCCCCUUGUUGUACUGAUUAUCCCUUGUUGUUAAUGGAUACCUCAGAUCCUAUCCCAUGUUGCAUUCCAUUCUACCUACAUCAUGAUGGUUCACGGGACACGUGGCAUUCUCCUGUGCCACUCCCUUUUAUUUUUCGUACCCUCUCAUUUUCACCCUCAACGUUUGCCCCUAUUUCUUAAAGGCCAGUCCUAACCGCCAACAUUGGAUAUGUGAAAACAAGCCAAUUGAUAAUUUUGAUAGAAAUAACGAUGCAGUUUCAAGCUCUAGAUGGCACCACUAUAUGUUUGUUAAUCCUUUAAGCCUCUGUGUUUCGUGGUAACUGAACCAACUGCCAGAAAAACACUACAGCAUUGUCAAUUAAAAUUGUCCUCAAUAAAUGUCUAAUAAAUGGUAGCUGCCAACAUAGCCAUUUUUGGGGAAACAUGUUUUCUCUAUUGUUUUAAAAUGGGUAUAGCCGUUUUAAUACAGUUGCAAUCGGAUAUCCAACAAGGAGAGUAAUACAUGUCAGUUAUUGGAACUCCUACAGUUUUUCUUUUGGUUUAACGCCGACAGGACUUAAAAGGAUUUCGUUUUAAGAUGGGUGGUUUUGACCACCUAUCUCAAAUGUCACCUUUGCACUGUGGUCUCCUUCUCUUUUAUGUCUUUCCAUUUGUACUUAUGGAGGGUGGACAAUUCAACACUUUCAUAUGUUUCGGGUGUGGGAAAGCAUGCAAAGUUGUCGUUAUCAUUAGCAAGUUAUAAUGAUUUUUUCUUUUAUCAACUCUCCAUGCAUCAUUCCAUCGUCGGUGACAUUUCCAAACAUUCAGAGGUUCUUAACCUUAAUGGCAUUCCCCCCUCUCCGUUGUGUGUAUUGAAAUGAUUUGAGUCUUGUUUCUUCACUUGUGGCAGUGAGGUCACACCUCCAUGGAUUCACAACAUUGAACCUCCCCUCCCCCCUCUAUUCCUGUUCCUACCUGCUUCUGUUUUGCCUUGCUGUUUUUUCAAUCAGCUUAUUUUUAAUGAAUAGGAAUCUUAACACUACCAUCAAAAGUGAUUAGUAGGCUCCUUAAUGUCGCUGGUAUUCUGCUGCAGCUGUCUUUUGGUUUGGGAUUUAUUUUGUUUCAAUAUUUGUUUUCGAGUUCUCUGCUCUUUAGUCUAAUUUGACACUAAAUGUGAUGCAAAAAGCAGAAAUUCCUUGUCUUCCAAAACAAAAAAAAGAGUACUUGUAUCCACUCUGGUUCGAGUAUUAAGAACAAACCCUCCCACCCCACCCCCCCUGUCCCAAUCCUCCCGUUUGGAAGUGUGUUUAGUUUGGUAGCCAGUUUGCACAUGCUAUGGUAUUUCUGUUACCGUAUGGUUGUGUUACAAACUGAAGGCCAGCGUCUCUUAAGCAUUGAGAGAAGUGAUUUGUAUGUUAGCUAUUUUGGUCCAGAGGGAAGGACCCCGCGUCAGGCUUGUGAUAUGAAGUGUAAAUCUGUCUUAAUUUUUUAUUUUAAUUUUAUUUUUUAUGUUUUUUUCGUUGUUGAGGUUUUCUUUAAGAUCAGUUAGUGAUCUUAAUACUAUAACUAAGCCAAGUUUGUAAUUGUAUAAUAUUUACUGUAAAAUGUAGAACAUUGAAUAACUAUUAAAAUUUUCCCAUAAAAGGAAGGUUUGUCUCGGCCAUUAUUUGUUGGUUCUGAACUAGAGAAGGACAAUUUGUAUAUAUUGAAUCGCCCUGAAAAAAAUUAUCACAUGAUUAAUGCUAUUUGUGUAGAAUAUUAAUCAUCACAGUAUUUUAUAUAUUUGAUGUGAUGUGUCUAAGUGCAUAGAUGGAACAUGAAUGAUGUUAGUGGAACAUAGAGGACUCACCAAAACUAGUUUGCUCAGAUUAUAUGCCUUGAAAGAAUAGCAGUGCAAUUGCAUUUAACCUGUAUGCAGUCUGAUGAGUCAUCCUUAUUUCAAUGUUACAAAAUAACAACGUUUUCACUUCCUUCUGAAUGCUACACCAGACUGCCUACUGCCUGCAUUUAGUAAAUAGGAAGCGACUCUUGGGAGUAUCGAUUCUGACUCUCACACACAAUGCCCUCCUGAGGUUUACAGCAUUUAGAAUGAGUGAAUGAGUGCCAUGUUGAAAGAUGGUCUUUCUGUGUGAUUUACACACACAAAUUGUAGCUUUGAGAUAUUUU
ensembl:lncRNA